UACGGAGGGUGCAAGCGUUAUCCGGAUUCACUGGGCUUAAAGGGCGCGUAGGUGGCCAGGUAAGUCAGUGGUGAAAUCUCCGGGCUUAACCCGGAAACUGCCGUUGAUACUAUUUGUCUUGAAUAUUGUGGAGGUAAGCGGAAUAUGUCAUGUAGCGGUGAAAUGCUUAGAUAUGACAUAGAACACCAAUUGCGAAGGCAGCUUACUACACAGCGAUUGACGCUGAGGCACGAAAGCGUGGGGAUCAAACAGG
rnacentral:rRNA from 1 species